GACGAACGCUGGCGGCGUGCUUAACACAUGCAAGUCGAACGAAGAGCGAUGGAAGCUUGCUUCUAUCAAUCUUAGUGGCGAACGGGUGAGUAACGCGUAAUCAACCUGCCCUUCAGAGGGGGACAACAGUUGGAAACGACUGCUAAUACCGCAUACGAUCUAACCUCGGCAUCGAGGAUGGAUGAAAGGUGGCCUCUAUUUAUAAGCUAUCACUGAAGGAGGGGAUUGCGUCUGAUUAGCUAGUUGGAGGGGUAACGGCCCACCAAGGCGAUGAUCAGUAGCCGGUCUGAGAGGAUGAACGGCCACAUUGGGACUGAGACACGGCCCAGACUCCUACGGGAGGCAGCAGUGGGGAAUCUUCCGCAAUGGACGAAAGUCUGACGAAGCAACGCCGCGUGAGUGAUGACGGCCUUCGGGUUGUAAAGCUCUGUUAAUCGGGACGAAAGGCCUUCUUGCGAAUAGUUAGAAGGAUUGACGGUACCGGAAUAGAAAGCCACGGCUAACUACGUG
rnacentral:rRNA from 1 species